AGGUGAGAAUACUGGAGUCAGUUUCUCUUUCCUUUUCCAGGGACUCUUCCUGACUCAGGGAUCAAACCCAGGUUUCCUGCAUUGCAGGCAGACCCUCUCCUGACUGAGCCACCGGGGAAGCCCUAUGACAAGAUAGGGCAGGUGGCAUGUGAGA
rnacentral:lncRNA from 1 species